UCGCCAAAUAAAGAAAGUGAAGUUGUAGCUUGGGGUUAUGAUUAUUGCAUUCAAGUCCCGAAAAGUUUGGUUAACAUCUUCAAGGAAUUAUUGCUUGAAACGAAAUAAUUGGCUUGAUCCUCCUUUUUUCCCCCCAUAUUUUUGUUGCAGAUGUAGAUGCUUGUGAAAGUAACCCAUGUCCAUCUGGAAGCCAAUGCCAAGAUCUCAAAUAUAGCUACAAGUGUAAAGACAUAACUGCAUCCGGAUGUUCGUGUUCUAACGGUGGUUCGUGUAUUGGCAAAGAUAGUAAUGGUGAUGAGUUCUGCGCAUGUCCAUCCGGCCGCCAAGGAGAUAUGUGUGAACUUACUAUUUCACCUCCAUCGAAUUGUGGUGAAAACUAUUACGGUGAGGAAGACGGCC